CCGCCACGUGCAGGUGCGGCAGUGUGCGGCCGAACUGCUCCUGUCCCUGCUGGAGAGAAUUGGAGUCACGGAGCUGGCAGGCACAGCCAGGGCUGAGAGGCUGGCGCACGCGGCAGCGACGCUUGCUCAGGACUGACACAGGGACACAAGGCAUUAUAGCCAGGAGAUGGUGAAGAUGUUGCUGAAUCACCAAGAAUGAAAAAUGCUUUUGGAACCAUCCAUUCCCGCCCAUGACCUGGAGGAUAUUCUGAGAAGAAUGAAGAAGAAAGGGAUGGAAGAGCAGAAGGGUGAACGCCCAUCUGUCAAGAGCCCUGUGAAGAAGAGCAGCGAUGGCUCCAAGAAGCCCCAGGCCCCAUUGCCUUCUAGUCAAGGGUACUGAGCACUUUUGUUAGAUGUGACAAAGCACAAGACAAGCUUGACAUGUCUCUUCCUCAGGAAAAUCUUUCUGGCAGAGAUGGCCAGAGAUUGUUUCCUUUCCCUACAAAUGCUGUAUGAUAAAAAAAUAUCUGCUUCUGCAUGACA